rnacentral:rRNA from 1 species
GACGAACGCUGGCGGCGUGCCUAAUACAUGCAAGUCGAGCGGAUUGAUGGGAGCUUGCUCCCUGAUAUCAGCGGCGGACGGGUGAGUAACACGUGGGCAACCUGCCUAUAAGACUGGGAUAACUUCGGGAAACCGGAGCUAAUACCGGAUAAUCCCUUUCCUCUCAUGAGGAAAGGCUGAAAGAUGGUUUACGCUAUCACUUAUAGAUGGGCCCGCGGCGCAUUAGCUAGUUGGUGAGGUAACGGCUCACCAAGGCAACGAUGCGUAGCCGACCUGA